rnacentral:rRNA from 1 species
GAUGAACGCUGGCGGCGUGCUUAACACAUGCAAGUCGAACGGUGAAAGAGGAGCUUGCUCCUCUGGAUCAGUGGCGAACGGGUGAGUAACACGUGAGUAACCUGCCCCAGACUCUGGGAUAAGCACUGGAAACGGUGUCUAAUACCGGAUACGAGCUUCAGCCGCAUGGCUAGGAGCUGGAAAGAAUUUCGGUCUGGGAUGGACUCGCGGCCUAUCAGCUAGUUGGUGAGGUAAUGGCUCACCAAGGCGACGACGGGUAGCCGGCCUGAGAGGGUGACCGGCCACACUGGGACUGAGACACGGCCCAGACUCCUACGGGAGGCUG